rnacentral:rRNA from 1 species
UGGAAGUAAAAGUCGUAACAAGGUUUCCGUAGGUGAACCUGCGGAAGGAUCAUUAAAAAAUAAUCACAGUUUUGUGAUUUUAAUAAUCAUCCUACCCUUUGUGAAUUUGUUUUGUAAAGAAAAUUUAUGUUGUCUAUCCCUGGUGGUUUUUGGAAAAGUUGAAAAACUUUUUCGAAUCCUCAGGGACUAGGCUUUCAUAGACCUUUUUUUAAAUUAAACUUUUUGUAUUCAUUUGUCUAAAAUUUAUUUUUAAUAAUUUAAAAACAACUUUUGACAAUGGAUCUCUUGGUUCUCGCAACGAUGAAGAACGCAGCAAAAUGCGAUAAGUAAUGUGAAUUGCAGAAUACGUGAAUCAUCAAAUCUUCGAACGCAUAUUGCACUUUUCUAGUUUACUAGAAAAGUAUGUCUGUUUGAGUAUCAGUAAAAUAUUCUCAUAAAAAACAUUGUUUUUUAUGGUUAUGAGUGUUUUACAACGAUAAACAAGUUGUUUCACUUUAAAUUGAUUUUUAAAAGCCAAUUUGGUUUUAUCUAAUAAAAUUGGAUAAAAUUUUCCCGUAAAAAGGAAUAAACUUUUCAGUUUUAAAAGGUAAAACUUUAGUUGAGCCUAAUUAAAAGGAAAUUUAACAAAAUAACUUGAUCUCAAAUCAGAUAAGAGUACCCGCUGAACUUAAGCAUAUCAAUAAGCGGAGGA